AGACAAAAAAUAGCCCGAAACGACUCCUGUCUCGGGCUUAGGGGAAUGGCUCGUGAGAGCCUUGCGCUAACUGGUUAAUAUAUGAUUAUCGAUUACACUAUCAAUGUUAGCUCACACAUUACAAUUUGCCAGUUU
rfam:Photobacterium profundum SS9